UUGUUUAUAUAUGACUGCGUCUGCCGACCGCCGUCGCCAACAGCUACCCGUGCCGACGUUCCUACCGCUGUGCACUACCGCCGCGGCUCACGUUUCCUGUUUAAUUGCUGCUGGUUUUUUUUUUUUUUUGUUCUCUCCUCUCCCAUCGUCGUCGUAACGUUAUACAUAUUUUCGUUCCUUCAUCACCAGCACACCGCACGCGGCGGUACUGUUUUGCACACGCAACUGCUCGCUGAUACCGUUCCGUUUCUUCCCGGCGAGUGAGUUCACCGGUCUUGAAGAUCAUCGACAUUUCCAAACCAAUACUGUAAUUAAUACUUAAGAAAAUAUGUCUCAUCGCGACUGGGAUCAGUCGUGCAAGGUCUACAUUGGUAAUUUGGGACAAAAUGGUACUAAACACGAAAUUGAAGCAUCAUUUACCAAGUAUGGUCCAUUGAAAAACACAUGGAUUGCCAGAAAUCCACCAGGUUUUGCUUUUGUUGAAUUUGAAGAUCCAAGAGAUGCUGAAGAUGCAGUUAGAGGUCUUGAUGGAACCCGUAUUUGUGGAGUCCGCGUGCGUGUUGAAAUGUCUAGCAACCGACCUCGUAGUGGACGAGAUGGUCGUGGAGGUGUUGAUCGCAGAGGAGGUGGUGGUGGCGGCGGUGGAUAUAACAGAGGUCCUCCACGCUAUAAUGAUAGGUAUAAUGACAGGAAAAGGAUCAUUGGUUAUCGCCCAUACUAAAAAAAUUAAUCAUCCCAUCUUAUAAAAAACCUCACACUGAAAAUAGGACUUGACCAACAUUUUUGUACUUCGCUCCAUCAAUUCUACCGAAUUGAAUUAUCGUUACGUGUUAUUUAACAUCAUGCUGGCGGAAACAGCCUAUUCUACACUAUUCUACAAUAUUCUUCCAACACCUCUACCCUACGAUCAACUCUUCGCAAGCACUCUUAUGCUUUCUCGGCUGUUUUAACGUCUCCACUCACACUCUCCAUCUAAACAACAUGUGGUAUUAAUUAUUCUUUCAUUCAAAACUGAGAGUUGUAAGUUAAAAGAUCACGAUCGCGUUCACCAAAACGUCGUGCUCCGCCUUCAAGGUCACGUUCCAGGAGUUACUCGCCAAGACAACGUCGCACGUCACAUUCCUA